rnacentral:rRNA from 1 species
AUUGAACGCUGGCGGCAUGCUUUACACAUGCAAGUCGAACGGCAGCGCGGGCUUCGGCCUGGCGGCGAGUGGCGAACGGGUGAGUAAUACAUCGGAACGUGCCCAGUAGUGGGGGAUAGCUCGGCGAAAGCCGGAUUAAUACCGCAUACGACCUGAGGGUGAAAGCGGGGGAUCUUCGGACCUCGCGCUAUUUGAGCGGCCGAUGGCAGAUUAGCUAGUUGGUGGGGUAAAGGCCUACCAAGGCGACGAUCUGUAGCUGGUCUGAGAGGACGACCAGCCACACUGGGACUGAGACACGGCACAGACUCCUACGGGAGGCAGCAGUGGGGAAUUUUGGACAAUGGGCGAAAGCCUGAUCCAGCAAUGCCGCGUGUGUGAUGAAGGCCUUCGGGUUGUAAAGCACUUUUGGCGGGAACGAAAAGGACUGUGCCAAUACCACGGUUCGAUGACGGUACCCGCAGAAUAAGCACCGGCUAACUACGUG